GACGAACGCUGGCGGCGUGCUUAACACAAGCAAGUCGAACGAUGAAGAAGAGAAACGCGAACUUCGGUUCAAAUUUCACUUCGGAUUAGUGGCAGACGGGUGAGUAACGCGUGAGCAACCUACCUCUUACAAAGGGAUAGCCUCGGGAAACCGUGAUUAAUACCAUAUGACACAUUCAUAAGGCAUCUUAAGAAUGUUAAAGCUACGGCGGUAAGAGAUGGGCUCGCGUCCCAUUAGCUAGUUGGUGAGGUAACGGCCCACCAAGGCGACGAUGGGUAACCGGCCUGAGAGGGUGAACGGUCACAUUGGAACUGAGACACGGUCCAAACUCCUACGGGAGGCAGCAGUGGGGAAUAUUGCACAAUGGAGGGAACUCUGAUGCAGCGACGCCGCGUGAGCGAUGAAGGAAUUCGUUUCGUAAAGCUCUGUUCUAUGGGAAGAAAAGGACUGUACCAUAGGAGAAAGCCCCGGCUAAAUACGUG
rnacentral:rRNA from 1 species